UACGUAGGGUGCGAGCGUUAAUCGGAAUUACUGGGCGUAAAGCGUGCGCAGGCGGUUUUGCAAGUCAGAUGUGAAAUCCCCGGGCUUAACCUGGGAAUUGCAUUUGUGACUGCACGGCUAGAGUGUGGCAGAGGGGGGUAGAAUUCCACGUGUAGCAGUGAAAUGCGUAGAUAUGUGGAGGAAUACCGAUGGCGAAGGCAGCCCCCUGGGAUAACACUGACGCUCAUGCACGAAAGCGUGGGGAGCAAACAGG
rnacentral:rRNA from 1 species